GAUGAACGCUGGCGGCGUGCCUAAUACAUGCAAGUCGAGCGAACGGACGAGAAGCUUGCUUCUCUGAUGUUAGCGGCGGACGGGUGAGUAACACGUGGAUAACCUACCUAUAAGACUGGGAUAACUUCGGGAAACCGGAGCUAAUACCGGAUAAUAUUUUGAACCGCAUGGUUCAAAAGUGAAAGACGGUCUUGCUGUCACUUAUAGAUGGAUCCGCGCUGCAUUAGCCAGUUGGUAAGGUAACGGCUUACCAAGGCAACGAUGCAUAGCCGACCUGAGGGGGUGAUCGGCCACACUGGAACUGAGGCACGGUCCAGACUCCUACGGGAGGCAGCAGUAGGGAAUCUUCCGCAAUGGGCGAAAGCCUGACGGAGCAACGCCGCGUGAGUGAUGAAGGUCUUCGGAUCGUAAAACUCUGUUAUUAGGGAAGAACAUAUGUGUAAGUAACUGUGCACAUCUUGACGGUACCUAAUCAGAAAGCCACGGCUAACUACGUG
rnacentral:rRNA from 1 species